GGUAUUUUGGUUUAGGCCUGGUUCUCAAAGCAGCCGCCAUGUUUCUUGACACAAGAGCGGCCAUCUUUGAACAUCGGCUACCUCCUCUCCAGACUGCCAUUAUUGCACACGUGCCGUAUAAACGAAUCUCUGUGUCAGACACCCAGGUUGCUUCGUCCUGUUGUGCCUCCGGAACCAGAAGUAAGCCUGCCUUUAAAAUGAAAGGAGAAACACAGCUUUAAAAGUGGUUGCGGUUAGAAAUGUGUAGGGGAGCAGGUCCAGCUCAAGACAUUUUGCCGUCUGAGGCGAAGGACAAGAUGGCAGCACCUCAGCAUCCCUCGGUUUCCAUGGGCAGAAGCUGGGGGUGAGGAAGGCAUUCAGCUCAGCUCAUACUGAAUGGCAAACCCACGUAACUGCUGCUUCCAGUAACAACACCUGUGCUGAAACGCAACCACCUUUUGAAAACCAACACGGCAAAGCAGUUCUCCAGCCAGGUGUGCAGAUUAAAAAUUUGCCUUCGCCAAGUGGAAUGGAACCUCAAUCUUCAUCAGCUUCUGCGGCUCUGAUUGAUUAGCCAAACCAUGUAAACCGACUGGUGUUUUUGCAGCUU